rfam:Brachypodium distachyon strain Bd21 chromosome 5, whole genome shotgun sequence.
AAUCUACUCCCUCCGUCCCAUAUUAAGUGACUUUCUAUUACAUGUAUGUAGACGUUUUUUAGGCAAUAGAUACAUUCAUAUUUGAACAAACUUGAGCCACUUAAUAUGAGACGGAGGGAGUAAUUU